rnacentral:rRNA from 1 species
AUUGAACGCUGGCGGCGUGCCUAACACAUGCAAGUCGAGCGGUAACAGGUGUAGCAAUACAUGCUGACGAGCGGCGGACGGGUGAGUAACGCUUGGGAAUCUGCCUAUUAGUGGGGGGACAACCCGGGGAAACUCGGGCUAGUACCGCAUACGCACUACGGUGGAAAGCCGGGGACCGCAAGGCCUGGCGCUAACAGAUGAGCCCAAGUCGGAUUAGCUAGUUGGUAGGGUAACGGCCACCAAGGCGACGAUCCGUAACUGGUCUGAGAGGACGACCGGCCACACUGGGACUGAGACACGGCCCAGACUCCUACGGGAGGCAGCAGUGGGGAAUCUUGCGCAAUGGGCGAAAGCCUGACGCAGCGACGCCGCGUGAGGGAUGACGGCCU